CACCGCGGUUAUACGAGAGGCCCAAGUUGACGGACAUCGGCGUAAAGAGUGGUUAAGGAAAACCUUCAACUAAAGUCGAACGCUCUCAAGACUGUCGUACGUUUCCGAGAGUAUGAAGCCCCACCACGAAAGUGACUUUACCUCACCUGACUCCACGAAAGCUGCGAAA
rnacentral:rRNA from 1 species